AUUGAACGCUGGCGGCAUGCCUUACACAUGCAAGUCGAACGGUAACGCGGGGCAACCUGGCGACGAGUGGCGAACGGGUGAGUAAUACAUCGGAACGUGCCCAGUAGUGGGGGAUAGCCCGCGAAGCCGGAUUAAUACGCAUACGACCUAUGGGUGAAAGCGGGGAUCGCAAGACCUCGCGCUAUUGGAGCGGCCGAUGUCGAGGUUAGGUAGUUGGUGGGGUAAAAGCCUACCAAGCCGACGAUCUGUAGCUGGUCUGAGAGGACGACCAGCCACACUGGGACUGAGACACGGCCCAGACUCCUACGGGAGGCAGCAGUGGGAAUUUUGGACAAUGGCGCAAGCCUGAUCCAGCCAUGCCGCGUGC
rnacentral:rRNA from 1 species